UCCAGACCACAGAAGUACAGCAUAUCGAAUUUGCUUUGACUUGCACAAGCUACAAAUCCUGCUGCUUUCAAGUAACUGCUGUGCUGUUGGCUGUGAAAGCAAGAGAACAGCUUCUGCAGAUGAAAGGCCAGCGAUGAUAGCACUGGAAUGUGACCUCGGACGUUUAUCAGAAUGACAUUGUAUGUCAGAUGAUACAGCAUCCUUAUUUUUCCAACCACUUUUGGCCUGGAAUCAGUUGAUUGAGGUCAGAAGGAAAGCUGGUUAUUGGUUUGAAUGACUAUGGGAUUGACUCUAGUACAAGCAACCCAGCUGGCCACUUAGCAGUGUGACAUCUUCUAAGUAGCUGACAGUUACCGGCGCAUGCAGAUGUUUUAGAUCCCCA
rnacentral:lncRNA from 1 species